UACGUCUAUGAGUAAUGAGGUAAUAUGGGUUUUCUUCAGGAAACCAACCAACAGGAUUUCAGAUAUCAGACUUAUCUGAAGACCUUGCUCCAAAGGAUAGAUGUCCACCCCAAGACUAACUCCUCCCUGUAAUCUUGAAGAAUUACUGCCAAUCAAUGUUAAUAGUAAUGGGCUACUGGAAGUAUGCUAUUGUCAUGUGCAAGGAAGGCUGAAUUGGUGAAACACACAGUUUUGUGCCAUUUUCAAUAAACAGAAUUGCCUCUCAUCUGAUCAGGAACUCCACAACGAGGCUUCUUCAUCCAGCUUUAAAUAAACAAAUAAAGAAAUCAGUACCAUAUGAUGACAAUAACUUCAUAAUGCCAUUGGCAUCUGCUGACGCAUCUGAUAUAUAACAACCUAUCAUACUUCUUAGUGGCAAGACAUUAUUUUACACUUUUCCAUAUAGUUCCAGAUUAACAUUAAUAAAUAGCAAAUCCUCAUGGAAUCCCCAAAUGAGGAAGUAG